rnacentral:rRNA from 1 species
AGAGUUUGAUCCUGGCUCAGAUUGAACGCCGGCGGCAUGCCUUACACAUGCAAGUCGAACGGCAGCACGGGAGCAAUCCUGGUGGCGAGUGGCGAACGGGUGAGUAAUAUAUCGGAACGUGCCCAGUCGUGGGGGAUAACGUAGAGAAAUUUACGCUAAUACCGCAUACGAUCUAAGGAUGAAAGCGGGGGACCGUAAGGCCUCGCGCGAUUGGAGCGGCUGAUAUCAGAUUAGGUUGUUGGUGAGGUAAAAGCUCACCAAGCCGACGAUCUGUAGCUGGUUUGAGAGAACGACCAGCCACACUGGGACUGAGACACGGCCCAGACUCCUACGGGAGGCAGCAGUGGGGAAUUUUGGACAACGGGCGA